rnacentral:rRNA from 1 species
UACGGAGGAUGCGAGCGUUAUCCGGAUUUAUUGGGUUUAAAGGGUGCGUAGGCGGGCUUUUAAGUCAGCGGUAAAAAUUCGGGGCUCAACCCCGUCCGGCCGUUGAAACUGGGGGCCUUGAGUGGGCGAGAAGAAGGCGGAAUGCGUGGUAUAGCGGUGAAAUGCAUAGAUAUCACGCAGAACCCCGAUUGCGAAGGCAGCCUUCCGGCGCCCUACUGACGCUGAGGCACGAAAGUGCGGGGAUCGAACAGG